rnacentral:tRNA from 4 species
UGCGGGGUGGAGCAGUCUGGUAGCUCGUCGGGCUCAUAACCCGAAGGUC